rnacentral:rRNA from 1 species
UACAGAGGGUGCAAGCGUUAAUCGGAAUUACUGGGCGUAAAGCGUGCGUAGACGGUUAUUUAAGUCAGGUGUGAAAGCCCCGGGCUCAACCUGGGAAUUGCAUUUGAGACGUGAAUAAGCUAGGGUGCGGAAGAGGGAAGCGGAAUUUCCGGUGUAGCGGUGAAAUGCGUAGAUAUCAGGAGGAACACCUGUGGUGUAGACAGCUUACUGGACCACUUCUGACGUGAGACACGAAAGCGUGGGUAGCAAACAGG